AACCCAGUGUGAUUCGUCACACUAUCAUUAACUGAAUCCAUAGGUUAAUGAGGCGAACCGGGGGAACUGAAACAUCUAAGUACCCCGAGGAAAAGAAAUCAACCGAGAUUCCCCCAGUAGCGGCGAGCGAACGGGGAGGAGCCCAGAGCCUGAAUCAGCAUGUGUGUUAGUGGAAGCGUCUGGAAAGGCGCGCGAUACAGGGUGACAGCCCCGUACACAAAAGCGCAUGUGCUGUGAGCUCGAUGAGUAGGGCGGGACACGUGGUAUCCUGUCUGAAUAUGGGGGGACCAUCCUCCAAGGCUAAAUACUCCUGACUGACCGAUAGUGAACCAGUACCGUGAGGGAAAGGCGAAAAGAACCCCGGCGAGGGGAGUGAAAAAGAACCUGAAACCGUGUACGUACAAGCAGUGGGAGCACCCUUUGGGUGUGACUGCGUACCUUUUGUAUAAUGGGUCAGCGACUUAUAUUCUGUAGCAAGGUUAACCGAAUAGGGGAGCCGGAGGGAAACCGAGUCUUAAC
rnacentral:rRNA from 1 species